AUGCAGACAGUUGUGGAUCGCACUUGCUUAAUCUGCAUGAAUUUCUGCUUCAAGUACCUAGGCAGGCAUCAGUGUAACAGCUACUCAGCUGAUUUGAAGCAAAUGGAUGCUUACAUUACAGGGACUUGGCCACCAACACCGUUGACGUUGAACUCGAGCUCCUUCAAUCUGGGAAGUUUCUUGAUGCCGGAGAGAGAUGUGGAAGAUGACCAGACAAUCUUCUCGAGCCUAGGAGCUGACCCGCUGUUGAAAUCAAUCUCGGUAAUGGCUAAGCAGUCAACAACAAGAAGGUUGAGCCAUAAGAACUCAUCUUUUUUCAAUGUAAUCUUGUUCUGA
rnacentral:rRNA from 1 species